rnacentral:RNase_P_RNA from 1 species
CCUAACAGUCAAUCGCUGUUGGCAACAAUAGAGGAAACUCCAUGCUUGCACAAGGUGUUAACCUUGUAGUGAUUGUGUGUGAUUAAUAAAUAAGUCACAGCAUCCCUCAUGACGGAUGGCUCUAUCUAAGGUCGCAAGACUAUGAGAAGGCUUUAAUAGUACCACAGAGACGAGCUAGGUGGAAACACUUAGAUGAAACGCGGUAAACCCCACAAGCAAGAAACCUAAAUUUUGGUAAGGGAAUCUUUAGAUUAGAAUUGAAUAAUCUAGAGGAUAAAGCAUCAAGACUAUGCCAAUAAGGCACCAAAUUGCUUUAUAGAUAAAUGAUUGACCAAGACAGAACAUGGGUUAUGUU